AGAGUUUGAUCCUGGCUCAGGAUGAACGCUGACAGAAUGCUUAACACAUGCAAGUCUUUGGCGAAGCUGUGCUUGCACAGCCUAGCCAAGGCGGACGGGUGAGUAACGCGUAAGGAACUUGCCCUGCAGUCAGGGAUAACAGACGGAAACGACUGAUAAGACCUGGUAAAGUCAGGCGGACUCAUGUCCAGCCUGAUGAAAAGAGAUGCUGCAGGAGAGCCUUGCGUCCUAUUAGCUUGUUGGUGGGGUAACGGCCCACCAAGGCGAUGAUAGGUAGCCGGCCUGAGAGGGUGGACGGCCACAAGGGGACUGAGAUACGGCCCUUACUCCUACGGGAGGCAGCAGUGGGGAAUAUUGGACAAUGGGGGCAACCCUGAUCCAGCAAUUCUGUGUGCACGAUGAAGGUUUUCGGAUUGUAAAGUGCUUUCAGCAGGGAAGAAAAAAAUGACGGUACCUGCAGAAGAAGCGACGGCUAAAUACGUGCCAGCAGCCGCGGUAAUACGUAUGUCGCAAGCGUUAUCCGGAAUUAUUGGGCAUAAAGGGCAUCUAGGCGGCCAGAUAAGUCUGGGGUGAAAACUUGCGGCUCAACCGCAAGCCUGCCCUGGAAACUAUGUGGCUAGAGUACUGGAGAGGUGGACGGAACUGCACGAGUAGAGGUGAAAUUCGUAGAUAUGUGCAGGAAUGCCGAUGAUGAAGAUAGUUCACUGGACGGUAACUGACGCUGAAGUGCGAAAGCUAGGGGAGCAAACAGGAUUAGAUACCCUGGUAGUCCUAGCUGUAAACGAUGAUUACUGGGUGUGGGCAUGAAGAGUGUCUGUGCCGAAGCUAAUGCGAUAAGUAAUCCGCCUGGGGAGUACGACCGCAAGGUUGAAACUCAAAGGAAUUGACGGGGACCCGCACAAGCGGUGGAGCAUGUGGUUUAAUUCGACGCAACGCGAGGAACCUUACCAGAUCUUGACAUCCUGCGAAGGCCUGCGAGAGCAGGCUGUGCCUCCGGGAACGCAGAGACAGGUGGUGCAUGGCUGUCGACAGCUCGUGUCGUGAGAUGUUGGGUUAAGUCCCGCAACGAGCGCAACCCCU
rnacentral:rRNA from 1 species